GCCAAGCGUUGUCCGGAUUGACUGGGCGUAAAGCGCACGCAGGCGGCACCGUGCGUGGGGUGUGAAAUCUGGCCGCUUAACGGCCAGGCGCCAUCCCAUACGGCGGAGCUGGAGUGAUGCAGAGGUCGAUGGAAUUGCCGGUGUAGUGGUGAAAUACGUAGAGAUCGGCAGGAACACCCAGGGGGAAACCAGUCGACUGGGCAUCUACUGACGCUGAGGUGCGAGAGCGUGGGGAGCGAACCGG
rnacentral:rRNA from 1 species